UCGGCGCAGCCAGGGCCUUGCUGAUUCUAUGUGUGUAUAAACAGGGAACUUCAGAGACAGAAUGGAGAAGGAAGAUGGAAAGAACUAAGACAGAACGAUGAGAGAAGAGCAGAAGAAGGGACAGAGAGGAGCCAAGUAUGAGAACAGAAAAGAAGCCGUAUUAAUUUCUUCGCCACUGGUCGUGUCUAUUCUGGACCCUGGGAGAAAUCUCCACUGGCAGGUACUGGUGCACACAUGCACACAGCAAAGAAGAUGUUGGUUCCCGUGUUUCUGAGUUUGCUCAUUUCGUCUUUUGUCUGAAGACACACAGUCCUUACAGCCAAAUACCACAUUCAAAUAUUGCCAGGAUGGCUGAUGGCUGAUCGAGCGGAGAGCUCAUUCUCCUUUGGUCGGAGUGGUCGUCUGUCCGAAUUACAGCUGUGUUUAGCUUCCUGGUGAUAGUGCUGUGUUCUGUUCCCUUCAUCACUGCUGAUUGAUUGAUUGAUUGAUUGGGAUGAUUUUUGGUUUGGUUUGGUUUUGUGUGUCAAAAAGCUACAGGCAAAAAAGUCAUAAAUGUGCCACCCCUAGUACCCCAUCUAUCCUGAUGGUUCUGCACAUCCCCGCUGGUGGCCAGCCUCAUUCCUUUCUGAGUUAUGCUUUGGCAUGACAUUUUAUAGGAGUGAGUAGGUUCAUGUCUCGUGUCUCUUUCCGUUCUUCCGUAUUCUUAUUCAGUAGGCUCCACGGCCAGUAGUGUGCAUGCUCUUUCCUGCUUUGCUUUCUCCACUUAACACUUUGUCUUAGACUUCACUUGAAGUUUUGAUAGGGGCGGGGUGG